AUGCUGAGGCGGACGGUGCGGAGCCUCCUGCCGGGAGGGGGCAGCUUCAAGUCGUCGGUCAGAGGCUAUGAGGCGUCCCUCUCCAGGCUCUUUAGCGGAAGGAUCGCUAGGACCUCGUCACUCCCGGCGGCGGACGAUGGCGUGCUCUCGGCCUCCGUGCACGCUGCCAACAAGACGCCGCCGAGUGUUCCUGUCGCCGCUGAGAAGACGGACAUGCACCGGUCGCAGUCCCUCCCGAUGAACAUGAAGUUGAGCUCGGCCAAGAGCAUCAAGAGGAUGAACUCGCUCGACGGCGUGUACUGUGUCGUCCCCUCCACACCGUGA
rnacentral:rRNA from 1 species